UGGUACUUGAAAUCAAUCUAAAUACCUUUCACUUGUUCAGUAUUGUGUUUUUGUUGCUAUAUAAACGAUGAACUUAAUAUAGGCAGAUGGCCAUUGCUUUUCUGAACAGCAGUUGGAAGUAUUCUGAGGUCAUUGGCACUGCUGUAUCACAACAUCAUUUGCUGGCAUGUACAUCUAGGAUGCGAUCUAUCCAGAUGAGAUUCUCUCCAAUGCCAGCAAACCGACAGUGGAAGACACGAGCCAGCACUUCUCCCCUCACAUUGCCUCAGGCUUAUGAGGUCCCCACUUAUAACUGAUUCUCCCCCCUUCAU